UACAGAGGUCCCAAGCGUUGUUCGGAUUCACUGGGCGUAAAGGGUGCGUAGGUGGUCGGAUAAGUCUGAUGUGAAAUCUCCGAGCUCAACUCGGAAAUGGCAUUGGAUACUAUUCGGCUGGAGGGUUGGAGGGGGGACUGGAAUACUUGGUGUAGCAGUGAAAUGCGUAGAUAUCAAGUGGAACACCAGUGGCGAAGGCGAGUCCCUGGACAACUCCUGACACUGAGGCACGAAAGCUAGAGGAGCAAACAGG
rnacentral:rRNA from 1 species